UUUUCCUUGCACUUGGCUUAUCCAAUAAACCAAUUGGACUUGAUCCAAUCAAGCCCAAAAUAAAUUUAAUUAAAUCAUAUUUAAUUAUACUUAAUCUCAGCCCAUUGGCUUAAUCAAAUUAAGCCAAUUAGCAAUCGAAUUGCUAAUCGAUCCUCCUGCAACACUUGCACUGGGUUAAAUGUCAAUCGUAUUGAUCAUUUAACCCUAGAACGAUUCUUAAUCGUUGAUCAACCAUCUGAUCGGAUUAUGAACUCUAAUGUGUGUGACCUCAUAGGUCCGAACCUAAACCGGUAGCAUAGGAACAAAUUUUUAUACCAAUCGAAGUGACCAUCUAGCAAUGGUACCCAACGACCGGAUAGGUCGAAUGUGUAGAACAACAUCCUUAGAACCCAUGCGGAUAUAGUUUUCAUAUAAUUCAUCUCCUUGACCAAAAUGAUCAUAGGACACCCCAGAGCUCAACUGUCAACUCUGAUCAGGUUGUCCACAUUGUAUUUCAAAAUAUCAAAUCUAUCUGAUGGAUUACCCUAGCCAAGGUUUUGCUAAAUUGAAAUACAGCGACUCAUUCUUCUCCAACUCUUGGAGUGGUCAAUCCCAUCUCGAUCACACUCUGACUUCGCAAGUACUUGACUGUGCCCAGAAGCCUUCCGUNN
rnacentral:lncRNA from 1 species